CAGCCGCCGCGGGAAUACGAAGGGUGCAAGCGUUACUCGGAAUUACUGGGCGUAAAGCGUGCGUAGGUGGUGGUUUAAGUCCGUUGUGAAAGCCCUGGGCUCAACCUGGGAAUUGCAGUGGAUACUGGGUCACUAGAGUGUGGUAGAGGAUAGUGGAAUUUCCGGUGUAGCAGUGAAAUGCGUAGAGAUCGGAAGGAACAUCUGUGGCGAAGGCGACUAUCUGGGCCAACACUGACACUGAGGCACGAAAGCGUGGGGAGCAAACAGGAUUAGAUACCCGAGUAGUCCCUGUCUCAUACAC
rnacentral:rRNA from 1 species